GCUUGUCUCAAAGAUUAAGCCAUGCAUGUCUAAGUAUAAAUAACUACACAGUAAAACUGCGAAUGGCUCAUUAAAACAGUUAUAGUUUAUUUGAUAUAUUAUAUGGAUAACUGUAGAAAAACUAGAGCUAAUACAUGCCAUAACCGUAAGGUUGUAUUUAUUAGAUAUUCCUGGUAGGUGAUUCAUAAUAACUGAUCGAAUCGCAAGGCCUUUGGCCGCGAUAAGUCAUUCAAGUUUCUGCCCCAUCAGCUUUCGAUGGUAGUGUAUUGGACUACCAUGGCGUUCACGGGUAACGGAGAAUUAGGGUUCGAUUCCGGAGAGGGAGCCUGAGAAACGGCUACCACAUCCAAGGAAGGCAGCAGG
rnacentral:rRNA from 1 species